ACCAAGAGGUGAAUUGGUUUAGUAAUUAAAAAUUGUACUUUUUAAAAAUCUUCUCUUUUUAAAAUUUGAUUUCACAAUAAAAAUUAUUCUUUUAAAUAUUAACAAGAAAUAAAGAGUAGAGGAAAAGAGAAGUUUGCACAAAGAAUUUUAUACUGAUUCAUAUCAAAAGACCAUACGACUAGUUGUUAAUCUCUUUUAAAGAAGGAUUAACCCAUUACUAAAAAUAACCAAUAACUUACAAUAACAGAGAACAAGGUUAAGGAUAGAAAGCACUUCCUUCAAUACACAAAGGAUGAACAACACCUCCUUUGACACACAAAGGAUGAACAACUUUCCUAACAAUAACAACAACACUCAAUGAUAAGACACACUUACUGAAAGUUUUCGCUCUACCUAUACUGAGUUUCUCAAAGCCCUUUUUUCACAAAUAGGAAAAGUUUCCCUUAGACACACAACUCUAAUACUUUUAGUGAAAAAUUCUUUCACUACAGGAAAUGUGCGAAAUACCGACAGACAUAUGUCGACGACCUUUGGUCCGUCGGUAUUUGGUAAAUACCAAAGGAUUUAUCGACGACUCAUGAAAGUGGUUUUUUCGAAGGUCAUCUCCUUCGGUAAGCAGCAUGUGCCAUUACCGAAGGGUGGGAUAUGUUGAGGCUCUCUCCUUCAGCCAACGUGUCUGUCAGCCACCUUGUUGGUGAUUGACUGUGUCCCAAUCGCAUGUUCAUGAUUCGGUUUGUCGCAAUCACCAUUGGAGUUCGUCCAUCGCAAAGGUUGGUUAAGCGCUUGGUUUUGCGAUUAAACGGUGAGUUUCACCGAUUGUCAUCGAGGGUUGGGCUUCCACUUGCUGUGACAUGUGCGUUCUUCUUGCAAGGUUGUUGUUCGAGGGUUGGAUGGUUGUUCUUUGAGGGGUCUUGCUGGAGUGUAGUUCGUGCGUGUGAGUGAGGUUGUCUAAAGCAUGUUGGUGGAGGUUUUUGGUUGUGUUUCUUCCCCUACCAUUGAGGUUUUGCACGGCAGGAAAUGCGCGAAAUACCGACGAACAUAUGCCGACGGCCUUUGGUUCGUUAGUAUUGACCAAUUAGCGAAGGAUUUAGCAACGACUCAUGAAAGUGGUUUUUUCCGACGGUCAAAUCCUUCGGCAAGCAACAUGUGUCAUUACCGAAGGGCGGGAUCUGCCGAUAAGCAGCAUAAUUUAAUUCAAAAGGGAUUUGGGAAAAAUCAAUUUCCCUCCUUCGUUCAAUCCUAUUUCCAAUUUCUUCUUCUUCUCGCGCGUUGUCCCAGCGUUCCUUGGUUGGCUUGUGCAGAGGCCCUCUCCAUCAGCUAGCAUGACUGUCAGCCACUGUGUUGGUGAUUGGAUAUGUCACAAUCGCCAUCGGAUUUCGUCCAUCGCAAAGGGUUGUUGUUCGAGGGUUGGAGGGUUGUUCUUGGAGGGGUCUUGCUCGAGUGUGGUUCGUGCGUGUGAGCGAGGUUGUCUAAAGCAUCUUGGUGGAGGUUUUGGGUUGUGUUUCUUCCCCUAUCGAUGAGGUUUUGGGGCUGAGGCGUGUCAUUGCUGAAGGGUCCAAGAGUUCAUCAUUUCUAGAAGUUUGUUAUCAAACGUGCAACCCACCUAAAAAUGGCUACUAAAGAGUAAUGACAUGAGAAGGUUUAGAACGUCGUGAUAAAGGAAAGGGGGUAGCAAGGCCUAAAAAGAGGCAACGGCAGGCACCACGAUAUGUACUUAGGGUGCCUACUACACUACCUACCACUGUUGCCCCUAGUCCAUCAUCCGUGGGGCCUCCUCCUACCCCUACAGAACACCCUCCUCCUACCCCUGCAGCAGACCCUCUUCCUUCUCCUAUGAUUAUUACCCCCACUCCUCCCCCUGUGAUUAUUACCCUCACUUCUCCCCCUGUGAUUGUUACCCCCAUUCCUCCCCCUAACUCUACUUAUAUACCUUCCUCAUCUUGUAUACCGCCUUGUGAGACUGCCACACCAUCUGCUGAUCUAGAUUCAGUUGAUGAUGGUGAUAGUGUUGACCCGCCCCUCCAUGAUCGACCAUGGAUUGUUAGAUAUGGUAAAUGGUUUUUUCCAUCUAGGGUUACUUCUCAGACCAUCACACGAUCAAUUAAGCAACAAUAUUUAAGUCCAUGGCCUACUUGGGGAGCAAUACCUGUAGAUAACAGAUAGCCAUUAUGGCAUCAUUUUAAGAUGAAGGUGCAGUGGAAACCUGGAAAUGAAACUCAUACAAAGAAAUUUCCACAUGAAAGUAUCUCAUCGGCUGUUGAUAAACAAAUUUUUAAUCCCCGAAAACGGAGUCAAAAACUUGUUAAGACCUCGGCAAGUGUACUGAAUCGUAUCAAGUAAUAAUAAAUGGUAAGACCAAGUAUCGUUUCCCAAGAGACUCAUGACACUAAACAGUUAUGUGAUUACUUAACUAAUUAAGACUCUAAAGAACAAAUUUUGGGGUUUUUGAAUGCAAAUGCGAUAAAAUAAACAUGAAUGCAAUUUGAUCAAUUGAGGAUAAACACAAGAAUGAAUGGAUGAAGUUGAUGAUAUUGUUGUUGGGUUUAGAUUUCACCUAAUUUACUCUCAUGCAUAUAUGAAUUCAUCUUCUUCAUUAAUGUUAAUGUCACUUUCUAAUUUACCUUAAACCCGAUGUCUCCGUGAAGAAAGCCUACUCCUAAUUACUAGUUCACAAUGUCUUGUCUCCCUAGCAAUUAAUCAUGCAUUACAUUCGCAUAGAAGCUUAAAGGCAACCAACCCUCAUAUCCCUAGGUCUAGGCAAUACUGCUUUUGGGAGAAUUUCCCUAGAUCUAGAUUUCCCCGUAUGUGUCCAUAUCGAAAAAAUCAAUGAUCAUGCAAUUGAAUGAGUUAAACAAAGCAUGCAUAGAGUGUAGAGGAAAAACCCUAACAAUUAAUGAAGUAAAUCAUAUAUAAUCAAGAAUCAAUUCAAUACAUGAGAGUUUAAGAGGUUACAUCUUUUCCAACAACAAAUAAGGUUUAGCUCUCCAUUAUCAUAAAGGAACUAGAUGAACAAUGAAAGAAUGAGAGAAUGAAAGAGAAAGAAAAACCCUAGAAAGAGAAGAGGAGACUCCUACAUCCCCAAAUCUUCCCCCAAGGGGUGAAAAGUGUGUUUCUGUGCUCAAGCCAUCAAAAGAUACCAUCCCUAAGACGUGCAAGUCCUUAAAUAGAACAUAAAAAUAACAGAAAACAGGUCCAAGCCCAUGAAAAUAACAGAAAACAGGCCCAAGCCCAUAAAAAUGGCGCUCAACGACACUUUUGCCUCUCAACGGUAAGUGCAGCUCUCCAGAAUGAAGCUCAGCUGCAUUUUUAGCCCUCAAUGGUGAUUUCGACACUUCAAAACUGCCGCUCAGCGAUAAUUACCGCUUAGUGCAACUUUUUCUGCACUAUGGUUGACUUUUCUACAUUCUGGUUGACUGAUUGACUUUUAUGGUUGACUUUUUUGCAAUCUGGUUGACUUUUCUGCAUUCCAACCAUUUGGUACUUUAACUCUUCUUUCAAAUCAUUCCAAUAGCAUACAAAAUCAAGGGAUUCUAGCACAAAAACAUUAAAUUCACCUUUAACUCUCUUAUUCACAAAACUAAAGCAAAAACAUGAGUUUAAGCAAGCUUCUAAGUCAAAAAUGGUGUUUUUAAUAUCAAAAUUAAGUAUAAAAAUAACGGUUUUUCAACCAUUAUCAGCUGUCAGAGAAGUUUAGGGAUGCCAGCAAUGCAGGAAAGUGCCCUUACUGGUCUGGCGAACACAUUUGGAACUCUUGCUCAUUGGAAUUCAGUAGAGUUUCGCAAUAAGUGUGCUACAACCUAGAGGAACAUAACUUUUGAAAAGGAUGGCACCCUGCAUACUGAUGGGUCGAUCACGGUUCAUGAGCAUGCCAUUCGUAUGACACAAGCUUUGGGACGGGCGGUCCAUGUUGAUGAGGUCUUUGCACAAACUCAUGUUUGGAAGGGAACUAAUGAAUUUGUCGAUGAAAGAUUUCGGAAGACUCAUGUAAGAAAAUAACACUGCUACUAUUAGUAACUUUUCAUUAUGUUAUUGUAUCAUUCCCUAACAUUGCUUUUAAUGCUUGAACAACAAGAAUUUUCUACGAGACUUUAAGAGGUUAGAUCCGAACAUGGAUCCACUCCUACACCGAAUGAUGCAAGUAAUAAGGACAACGACAUCCGUAGGACACAAUGUUGGGUCGAUGUCGUUGGUGGGAAGGAAAAGGGACGAGUGUACGGUCCACGAUAAGUUGCUGCAAACUAUACAACAUUAACAGGAGGUACUCUAAAGCACUAACAUUCUUCUUCCACCAUUACUGCUUACGAGGUUGUUAUGCGCCUGACGCAGGCACUAGAGCAACAUGACCAGGAAAUCACUCAUUUGAGAGCAAUGUUUACAAACUUUAAGGCCUUGGUCAUGAGAGUGCUGCCUGAAACUUCAAAGCUUCAGUUCAUUGUCCCUCCGACCAAGCAACCUUCCCCGUCACCUACCGUCCCAGAGUAGCCCACAUCAGUCCACCCCACUCCAGUCCAGCCCACAGUAGUCUAGCCCACACCAGGCCAGCCAUCUACAGAGCAGUCGGAUGAUGAAUAUCAUUAUGAUGAUGACUAUGUAGAUUAUUAGUUUUCUUUUGCUAUUGAACAUAGUUGUUAGAACAUUUGGAUGUUAGAACAUUAUGAUUCUGCUACAUUACAUUUGCUCAUGUCUUUCAAACAUAUACAGUGUUGGUUUAGAUGAACAUAUUCUCGGAAGACUCAUGUUACAUCCGGACAUGGGUCAGCUCCUACACCGGAUGCUGUGAGUAAUGAAAACAACGACAUCCAUAGGACACAAUGCUGGGUCGAUGUCAUUGAUGGGAAGAAAAAGGGACGAGUGUACGGUACAAGACAACUUGCUGCAAACUAUACAACAACAAGAGGAGGUACUCUGAAGCACCAUCCUUCUUCAACCACCACUAUUGACGAGGUCGUCGAGCGCCUAACACAACUACUACAACAACGUGACUAGGAAUGUCAUGAUUUGAGAGAUGAAUACAGUGAAUUGGGAGAUGAGUUUACAAACUUUAAGUCCUUGGUCAUGAGAGUGCUGUCUGAAGCUUCACACCUUCAUUCCACCGUCCCUUCGACCCAGCCACGUCCCUUCCCGUCACCCGCCGUCCCUUAGCAGCCCACGUUAGUCCAACCCACAUCAAUCCAGCCCAUACUAGUCCACCCAUCUACAAAGCAACAAGAUGAUGAAGAUCAUUAUGAUGAUGACUAUGUAGAUUAUUAGUUUUAUUUUGUUAUUAAGCAUAGUUGUUAGAACAUUAUAAUUAUGCUACAUUACAUUCGCUCAUGUAUCUCAAACAUAUACAUUGUUAGUCUAGAUGAACAUAUUGUUUUAUG